AUGCUCGUUUGGCAGCACGUCUAACUAAAGUUGGAAUGACACGGAGAGCAUUAGCAUGGCUCCUGCACCAGGAUGAUAUGCAAAUGUGAAGUUUGAUCACUUUUC
ensembl:snRNA U6 U6 spliceosomal RNA